ACAGCAAUUCAGUCAUACCAAUAACUGCUAUUUCCACCAAUAUAUUCACCCUCAUAAUCUCCAACUGUAAUACUGCACCUUCACAGCUUUUAGCACACAAUUACCCUCGUUCCAAUCUCUGGAAUUCUUCACAUAGAACUGCCAUUCACAUAACAGUGUUUCACACAAACACAGACUCAUUCUCUCUACUAAACUACAAUCAGAUUUCAGCAUUCAAUCUUUCUUCUUCUCAAAUAAUACCAAUCACAUUUCCAUAAUUCACUUCACAAUAUUCAGAAACUUUCAAUCCUCUUAUUCAAAGAAAAUAACAAACAAAAGAAAAGAGGUAGCACCAAGCUUACCCCGGCUCACAACUCUUACAAUCUGGCCCUCGGCUUAUGACUCUCACAGUCUGGUAUUUUCUUCCCCUC
rnacentral:lncRNA from 1 species